GUGGGGAAUAUUGGACAAUGGGCGAAAGCCUGAUCCAGCAAUGCCGCAUGAGUGAAGAAGGCCUUAGGGUUGUAAAGCUCUUUUACCCGGGAUGAUAAUGACAGUACCGGGAGAAUAAGCUCCGGCUAACUCCGUGCCAGCAGCCGCGGUAAUACGGAGGGAGCUAGCGUUGUUCGGAAUCACUGGGCGUAAAGCGCACGUAGGCGGCUUUGUAAGUUAGAGGUGAAAGCCCGGGGCUCAACUCCGGAACUGCCUUUAAGACUGCAUCGCUUGAAUCUGGGAGAGGUAAGUGGAAUUCCGAGUGUAGAGGUGAAAUUCGUAGAUAUUCGGAAGAACACCAGUGGCGAAGGCGGCUUACUGGACCAGAAUUGACGCUGAGGUGCGAAAGCGUGGGGAGCAAACAGGAUUAGAUACCCGUGUAGUCC
rnacentral:rRNA from 1 species